CAGUAGGGUGCCGUCAAGAGGUGUAAGUUUGAAAUAUCCCUAAUACAGGAUCACUAA
rnacentral:rRNA from 1 species